AUUGAACGCUGGCGGCAUGCUUUACACAUGCAAGUCGAGCGGCAGCGCGGGGGCAACCCUGGCGGCGAGCGGCGAACGGGUGAGUAAUGCAUCGGAACGUACCCUGGAGUGGGGGAUAACGCCGCGAAAGCGGCGCUAAUACCGCAUAUGCUCUGAGGAGGAAAGUGGGGGACCGCAAGGCCUCACGCUCUGGGAGCGGCCGAUGUCCGAUUAGCUAGUUGGUGGGGUAAGCUUACCAAGGCGACGAACGGUAGCUGGUCUGAGAGGAUGAUCAGCCACACUGGGACUGAGGACACGGCCCAGACUCCUACGGGAGGCA
rnacentral:rRNA from 1 species